GUAAACGGCGGCCGUAACUAUAACGGUCCUAAGGUAGCGAAAUUCCUUGUCGGGUAAGUUCCGACCCGCACGAAAGGCGUAAUGAUUUGGGCACUGUCUCAACAAUGCACCCGGUGAAAUUGAAAUACCAGUGAAGAUGCUGGUUACCUGCGCCAGGACGGAAAGACCCCAUGGAGCUUUACUCCAGCUUGAUACUGGGAUUCGAUAUUGCAUGUACAGGAUAGGUGGGAGACUGAGAACUGAUGACGCCAGUUGUCAGGGAGUCACUGUUGGGAUACCACCCUUGUAGUAUUGGAUUUCUAACCAGCAGCCGUGAACCGGCUGGGGGACAAUGUCAGGUGGGGAGUUUGACUGGGGCGGUCGCCUCCGAAAGGGUAUCGGAGGCGCUCAAAGGUUCCCUCAGAAUGGUUGGAAACCAUUCGAAGAGUGCAAAGGCAGAAGGGAGCUUGACUGCGACACCGACGGGUGGAGCAGGUACGAAAGUAGGACUUAGUGAUCCGGUGGUAUAAAGUGGGAUUGCCAUCGCUCAACGGAUAAAAGCUACCCUGGGGAUAACAGGCUUAUCACUCCCAAGAGUUCACAUCGACGGAGUGGUUUGGCACCUCGAUGUCGGCUCAUCGCAUCCUGGGGCUGAAGUAGGUCCCAAGGGUUGGGCUGUUCGCCCAUUAAAGCGGUACGCGAGCUGGGUUCAGAACGUCGUGAGACAGUUCGGUCCCUAUCCGGCGUGGGCGUAGGAUAUUUGAGAGGAGCUGCCCUUAGUACGAGAGGACCGGGGUGGACUGGCCGCUGGUGGAUCUGUUGUAUUACCAAAUGCAUAGCAGAGUAGCCAAGCCGGGACGGGAUAAACGCUGAAGGCAUCUAAGCGUGAAGCCCCCCUCAAGAUGAGAUAUCCCAUAACGUCAAGUUAGUAAGACCCCUUGAAGACGACGAGGUAGAUAGGGCAGAGGUGGAAGUGCGGUAACGCAUGGAGCUGACUGUUACUAAUAGGUCGAGGGCAUAACCAA
rnacentral:rRNA from 1 species